UGUAUAGAUCAAGCCGAUUCAGUCUUACUGCUCAGCUCUCUGUCAUUUAGGAGUUAGAUCACUGUUUUGCUGCCCUAGGCACACCUGCCUGCGUCUGACAAUCACAGCCUUCAUAAAUUCUGGGUGUAAAUAGUUCUAUAAUAUUUACACAUCCUGAUUUGCCGGGGGAGGGCUGUCUGGGCUGUCAGGCAGUCCUCCCGAAGAGGAUCGCUGUGAAGGUAAGUACCAUGGAGCUCCUGGGGUAGACAGCCAUUACGAAG